GAUGAACGCUGGCGGCGUGCCUAAUACAUGCAAGUCGAGCGAAUGGAUUAAGAGCUUGCUCUUAUGAAGUUAGCGGCGGACGGGUGAGUAACACGUGGGUAACCUGCCCAUAAGACUGGGAUAACUCCGGGAAACCGGGGCUAAUACCGGAUAACAUUUUGAACCGCAUGGUUCGAAAUUGAAAGGCGGCUUCGGCUGUCACUUAUGGAUGGACCCGCGUCGCAUUAGCUAGUUGGUGAGGUAACGGCUCACCAAGGCAACGAUGCGUAGCCGACCUGAGAGGGUGAGCGGCCACCCUGGGACUGAGACACGGCCCAGACUCCGACGGGGGGCAGCAGUAGGGAAUCUUCCGCAAUGGACGAAAGUCUGACGGAGCAACGCCGCGUGAGUGAUGAAGGCUUUCGGGUCGUAAAACUCUGUUGUUAGGGAAGAACAAGUGCUAGUUGAAUAAGCUGGCACCUUGACGGUACCUAACCAGAAAGCCACGGCUAACUACGUGCCAGCCGCCGCGGUAA
rnacentral:rRNA from 1 species